UACGUAGGGUGCGAGCGUUAAUCGGAAUUACUGGGCGUAAAGCGUGCGCAGGCGGUUCGCCAAGUCAGGUGUGAAAUCCCCGGGCUUAACCUGGGAACUGCGUUUGAAACUGGGGGGCUUGAGUGUGGAAGAGGGGGGUGGAAUUCCAGGUGUAGCAGUGAAAUGCGUAGAGAUCUGGAGGAACACCGAUGGCGAAGGCAGCCCCCUGGGCUAACACUGACGCUCAUGCACGAAAGCGUGGGGAGCAAACAGG
rnacentral:rRNA from 1 species